AGGGCACCCAACUGGGCAAAGAAGUAGAGGGGAAAAAAGGAUAAGAAACAAGCCAAAGACACAGUGACUCAUGGGACGGCUAUAACCAGUGCAGGCGUAUCGCAGAUACAAAGGUUCCCUGAGGACCCAAGUCAGGACGGUGGUUUUGAUUUCAGGAUGAAGCAUGGACCCAGGAUACAGUAGGCACUCAAUCAUUGCUGCAGAAUACAGUAGGCACACAACCAUUGCGGAAGAGACAACACUCUGUUUCAUUUUCUAGCCAAAUGAACUCAGCUGUGACCCUUGGCGUUGCCCAUGUGGUAGAGGUCUGCGAUAACUCACCUCUUGGGGGGGUGUCUGUGAUGAUGCUUCCAGAGACAGGCUAUAAGGGGUCGGAAUUAAGAGAAUUCAUGCUUCGAUGAAUCCACAAUAUGACAGCACUGUUGGGAAGUGCUCAAAGGUUUUGCAAACCUGGAUAAAUAAACAAUCAACCAAGCAGUGGCAAGAGGACCCAAGCACUUGACUGUGAAGUAUUUUCAGACCUACUGUGUGUGGCUGUGUGUUAGUUUGGGGAGCCACUAACAGAAGAAAGCAAGAAACAGUCAGGGUGAAGAAUGAUACAAAUAGCUCUCUAUCAGUACUGGAGUCAUCUUCUCAACUUUUUAACUGUGCCUUUAGGCAAGUGACUUCAAUGGCUCUGUGCCCCUCUUCCUCAUCUGCAGACAGUGUCAUGGUUUGCACAGAACUCUCUGUGGAGGUGGCU
ensembl:lincRNA Gm14618 predicted gene 14618